rnacentral:rRNA from 1 species
GCAUAUCAAUAAGCGGAGGAAAAGAAACUAACAAGGAUUCCCCUAGUAACGGCAAGUGAGAGGGAAGAGCCCAAGAUUGAAAGCUGGCGUCUUCGGCGUCCGCAUUGUAAUCUCAAGAAGUGUUUUCCGCUUCGGACCAAGCCUAAGUCCCUUGGAAAAGGGCAUCAUAGAGGGUGAUAAUCCCGUACAUGGCUUGGAGCGCCCGAAGCUUUGUGAUACGCUUUCUAAGAGUCGAGUUGUUUGGGAAUGCAGCUCAAAAUGGGUGGUAAAUGCCAUCUAAGGCUAAAUAUUGGGGAGAGACCGAUAGCGAACAAGUACAGUGAUGGAAAGAUGAAAAGAACUUUGAAAAGAGAGUUAAACAGUACGUGAAAUUGCCAAAAGGGAAGGGUAGGAGGUCAGAGAUGCGGCCUGGGAUUCAGCCUUGCUUUUGCUUGGUGUUUUUCCCAGAUUGCAGGCCAACGUCGGUUUUGGGCACUGGAGAAGGGUAGGAGGAACGUGGCACCUCUCGGGGUGUGUUAUAGCCUCCUACUGGAUACAGCGACCGAGACCGAGGACAGCAGCGUACUCGCAAGAGCGGGCCUUCGGGCACCUUUACGCUUAGGGCGUUGGCAUAAUGGCCUUCUACCACCCGUCUUGAAACACGGACC